rnacentral:tRNA from 1 species
UGGUUCAGUUGGUAGAGCAUGGUGCUUGCAACACCAGGGUUGUGGGUUCCAUUCCUAC